AGAUUUUUGUGGCAUUCUCAGUUAGUGCUUGCAAAGCACUUUUAGAUCCAUGGCGCAAUAACGUGUGACAUCCAUGUACACAUGGUGCAUAUGCACAGGCUUGCUGAAACCAGAAGCGCUGCUAGCUCCCACUUCCCACCACUACAUGGAAAGAAAACUGCUGAAAGAGAGGAAGAAAUGAGAAAGGAGAGGAAAUUGAUGAGCAAAAUCAAGAUGGAGGUUUGAUGGCUGGUGCAUGGUGCUCACUUCGGAUCCAUUGAUUCUGUGACCACAUCUGCCUGCGAGCCCAGUCUCAGAAUGAAUACACACCCAGUCCAGAUGCAUGGAAACAACUGGCAUUAGUGGAAAUUGUGGCUUUUCUGGGUUGAUCCACUUUGCUAAGGAGCAGGCAGGGCUGGGAAGUGAUCUGUCUUUCAAAUUUGAAUCGUUUGUAUGGUACCUGAAUGAAGAAAAAGAAUUGAACCCUCUGCGAAGCUCUCCAGUGCACAUGCCUCACAUGCCUUUCCUGCUGAGCUAUUUCUGCCUCACUGGCUCCACAGCUGGAGUUCCUGUGUGCAAAACAAGCUAAGGGGGACAACUGGUGUUGAUUGUGCACAAGUUUUGUCCUCAGGUCUGUUUCUAUAUUAAGUCCUUUUUGGGGAUUGCUUUAAUGCUUUUGUUGAUAUUUCAGUGUUCUCCUUUUCAUAAAAAAUAUCUAAGGGUACCUCCAAGAACAGAAACUUCUCAGAAAAUGAGAGAUGGAAAAGAAGGAAACUUACUGUGAAAGAAAAAUCAUCAGAGAUUUCACUUUGAUCUUACUCUAUUGUUUUGGUUUUGCUUCUUUUCACAAAGUUCAAGCAUUUUCUCGCCUGUAGCAAUGCUAACAAAUGUAACAUGCUAAC